GCCUGGAUAACUCAGUUGGUUAGAGCGUAGUGCUAAUAAUGCCAAGGUUGCUAGUUCGAUUCCUGUAGGGUUGGACU